rnacentral:rRNA from 1 species
UACGUAGGGCGCAAGCGUUGUCCGGAAUUAUUGGGCGUAAAGAGCUCGUAGGCGGUUUGUCGCGUCUGCUGUGAAAACCCGAGGCUCAACCUCGGGCCUGCAGUGGGUACGGGCAGGCUAGAGUUCGGUAGGGGAGACUGGAAUUCCUGGUGUAGCGGUGAAAUGCGCAGAUAUCAGGAGGAACACCGGUGGCGAAGGCGGGUCUCUGAGCCGAUACUGACGCUGAGGAGCGAAAGCGUGGGGAGCGAACAGG